ensembl:lncRNA
GGUUUCUGUCAAGUUACAGCCUCAAUCUGACCCAUGUUGUGUCGGUCUCCCCAGUGACGCAGCACUGCGGUUGGUCGUCUCCGUGCUGGAGGCUGAGGCAGAAGUUCCUAUGGGCGCUUCCUGAGGCCACACGAGGCAGGGCCAGGCAGCUGAAAGUCAGCACCGCGGACAGCGCCCUUCAGCCGCAUGCCUGACCCGUGUGAGGAGCCUGGUUCUGUUGAGGGCUGUGCUCGGAGCCCAGAAUGGAGCCCGAGACACAGUGGGUGCUGAGAUGUUUGCUGAGCGAGCAAGUCCCACUCCUGACACCAAAGCCCCUGUGUUCAUCCAUCUGCCGUUUACAGGGACACUCGAAGAAAAACCAGGGUGAGGCCGACUGCGUAAAAGGGGGGCUUUAUUUACUCCCCUGCAGCAGCGUCCGCUCCCGCACAUGACGACCCUGCGGAGCCACUGCUCAGUGUGGAACCAAGACCGCCUGGCACUAAAAACACAUUGAAAACAUCAACG